GCUCCUGUAGCACAAUGGAUAGUGCAUCGGUCUCCGAAGCCGGUGAUGUGGGUUCGAUUCCCGCCGGGAGCACCA
rnacentral:tRNA from 1 species